CUCCCUGUUCAUAGUCAGUCAUAUUGUCAUACCAUAUCCGCAAUAGCUUUGGAACUUUAUCCAACACCAUGAAAUGGGGUAUUUCGUCAUCCCUCGGCCUCUUGUCACUCCUUCCAACCGAGUUCAUAUCGCCCUAUAGGAUAAUGAUGGCAAAUAAGAAUUCUAUUCUAAAUCUCUUAAAGCAGGAUAAAAAUAAUUUUUGAAAGAAGUUGACGAGAUGACACGGAAUAAGAUUUCAAAAUGAGCAUGAGAAAAUAAUAACUGACAAAAC
rnacentral:lncRNA from 1 species